rnacentral:rRNA from 1 species
AGAGUUUGAUCCUGGCUCAGGAUGAACGCUGGCGGCAUGCCUAAUACAUGCAAGUCGAACGAGAGGAAGGAAAGCUUGCUUUCCUGAAUCUAGUGGCGAACGGGUGAGUAACACGUAGGUAACCUGCCCAUGUGCCCGGGAUAACUUCUGGAAACGGAUGCUAAAACCGGAUAGGUAGCAGACAAGCAUUUGACUGCUAUUAAAGUGGCCUUGGCCAUGAACAUGGAUGGACCUGCGGUGCAUUAGCUGGUUGGUGAGGUAACGGCCCACCAAGGCGACGAUGCAUAGCCGGCCUGAGAGGGCGGACGGCCACAUUGGGACUGAGACACGGCCCAAACUCCUACGGGAGGCAGCAGUAGGGAAUUUUCGUCAAUGGGGGGAACCCUGAACGAGCAAUGCCGCGUGAGUGAGGAAGGUCUUCGGAUCGUAAAGCUCUGUUGUAAGAGAAAAACGGCACUCAUAGGGAAUGAUGAGUGAGUGAUGGUAUCUUACCAGAAAGUCACGGCUAACUACGUGCCAGCAGCCGCGGUAAUACGUAGGUGGCGAGCGUUAUCCGGAAUGAUUGGGCGUAAAGGGUGCGUAGGUGGCAGAUCAAGUCUGGAGUAAAAGGUAUGGGCUCAACCCGUACUGGCUCUGGAAACUGAUCCGCUAGAGAACAGAAGAGGACGGCGGAACUCCAUGUGUAGCGGUAAAAUGCGUAGAUAUAUGGAAGAACACCGGUGGCGAAGGCGGCCGUCUGGUCUGGAUUCUGACACUGAAGCACGAAAGCGUGGGGAGCAAAUAGGAUUAGAUACCCUAGUAGUCCACGCCGUAAACGAUGAGAACUAGGUGUUGGGGGAAUAACUCAGUGCCGCAGUUAACGCAGUAAGUUCUCCGCCUGGGGAGUAUGCACGCAAGUGUGAAACUCAAAGGAAUUGACGGGGGCCCGCACAAGCGGUGGAGUAUGUGGUUUAAUUCGAAGCAACGCGAAGAACCUUACCAGGCCUUGACAUCCCUUGCAGAGGUAUAGAGAUAUAUCCGAGGCUAUCAAGGAGACAGGUGGUGCAUGGUUGUCGUCAGCUCGUGUCGUGAGAUGUUGGGUUAAGU